GGUCGCCGUGAGGGGCGCGGAGGGAGCGGUGGGUCCGGGUCCGGCCCCCCCGGCCCUGGGGGGACCCGGUGGCUCCCGUCGGGCCGGACUGGGCCCUGCGGGACGAGAAGGGAAGCGUCCCGGCCCCGCCGGCAUUCGGGCGUCCCCUGCUCCGCAGAACCGCACGGGACUCCCGCGCCCAGCCACGGGACUGCGGGUUCCUCCAGCCGGCCGGGGCUGAGCCGGAACCGCUCCUGGAACAGCCGAACCUGUGACAGACCUGAACCUGCGGCCCUGGGACACAGCUCAGGUCGGCACAGCCGCAAAUGCCUGUUCUUGGAUACAGCGUCAUGUAGGCAAGAGUUCCUGGCUGAAAUAUAAUUUUUUUAUAUUACAAGAUUAUAUAUUGAAAAAACCCCAAAAAACCCCACAAACCCAAAAAAGUAAAAAAGGGGGAAGAAAGGGGGAAGAGAAGUGUGUGUGUGGGGAGGAGGAAUCUGAUCUGUGAAGAAAAGAUGUACCUUCUGGAAACGCCACAACCUCUGUAAUACCAGACAGCAAAUCCCAUUGUCAGAGGCGCGUGAGCAGCAAUAAAGGGAAAAGGAUUUCAUCCUCCUCAAGAAAAGACUCUGCACAAGCAGAAGAAAGGUUCUGUAGACUAAAAUUACUUCAGUCUGAAAUCCUGCCCGUGGAACAAUGUGCCUGAGCACCGGGUGAACUGUGCUGAAUCACACACACAAAAUACCUUUGCAAGAAAGACUCCUUAAAGCCCUUGGUCAUCUGCUCAGGCUGCCCCACAGUAACACUGACAGGCACCUUGCAACCUGUUCUGCACAAGACAAUUGAGAAAAGCCAAAAUCUAUAUUUUCUAGGCAUUCUUUACACUGCCAAACAUGUCUCAGAAUAAAUGUGGAGGGGAGGGACUUAAUACUCCUCAACAGUU